AGGAGAUAAGUUAUUCAAGAAUAAGCUUCUAACUUAAUUCUUUAGCGGCGAAAUCCCGUUAUUAUCUCU
rnacentral:tRNA from 1 species